CCCAAAACCCUUUUCAGACCCUGCGACUCCAUCCUCCUCAUUUUCUCUUCUUCCUUCUUUCUCUCUUGUCUUCGCUGCCGCUCCACCACCCCGGCCACCACGCCACACCCCUGCUGGAACUCCGCGUCUCCGUCACCUUCGACGCUCCAGCAGGGCUCCCUGCCGCUUCUCCUCCGUCUCCAUUCAACCCCUGUCCUCCGACCGUCCCGCCAGCAAUGAAUUCCGAUUUGGAGUACAUAUACUAGCAGUAUAUUGAGUCGUCUGAUGUCUCGUCGGACGAGGAGGAGUACUCCGAUGAGACGACGAUGAUGCAGGUUGUCCUUGAAGACGCGGAGGGUGCGGAGGAGCAUGCUCCCAAUUUCAAGGGCUUGAUCAAGGGUCAUAGGGUGCUCAGCUGCAACAGGACGCGCAAGCAUUUGACAUUGAUGGCCGACUACUUUGCCCACGAUGCACUAUUUGACCAUUUUCGCCGGCAUUUUCGAAUGCGCAAGACUGUCUUCAAUCGUUUGUACCAUGGUGCCCGGUCCUACGAUGACUACUUCAUCCUGAAGAAGGCUUCUCUGGUUACCAGAAUUGCACGGCCGCACUCCGGAUGGUUGCAUAUGGCAUGGUUGCUGAUUCGUGGGAUGAGUACCCACGGAUGUCUGAGAGCACAUGCGGAGAUGCCAUUGUCAGGUUUGCAACUGCCGUGGUCGAGGUGUUCAGACCUCAGUACCUGAGAGAACCAACUAUGGCAGACACCGACAUGCUCUUGGCAAUCUCAGAAGUAAGAGGGUGGCCAGAUUUGCUUGGACCUCUUGACUGCAUUAAUUGGAAAUGGAAGAACUACCCGAAGGCUUUACAAGGGCAAUAUCAGGGUCAUGUUUAGAAGCCCACCAUCAUUCUUGAAGCAGUUGCAUCACAGGAUCUUUGGAUUUAGCAUGGUUUCUUUGGCAUGCUCGGGUCUCACAAUGACAUCAAUGUGAUGCAAUGAUCGCCGUUGUUUGUGAGGCUGGCUGAAGGAAAAGCUCCUCCUUGCCAUGACACUGUCAAUGGACAUGAGUACAACAUGGGCUACUAUCUGAUUGAUGGUAUCUAUCCUUCAUGAGCUACCUUUGUCAGCACCAUGUCAAACCCAGUUGGCCAGAAAAAGGCUCACUUUGCCAAAGACAAGGAGCAGCUAGAAAGGAUGUCGAGAGGGCAUUUGGAGUUCUGCAAGCCUGUUUUGCAGUUUUUCGUGGACUUGCAAAACAAUGAGAUCCGGAGACCAUGUGGGAGGUGAUGACAUGUUGUGUGAUCAUGCACAAUAUGAUCAUCUAGGAUGAGGGUGACGAUGCUGCCGCAACUCUGGAUUUUGAGAACAUGGGUGGUCUUAUCCAACUUUCGGACCAGAAUCCGGCCACAUUUGAAGAGUUUAUUCAAAUGCAUCAACAAAUUCGGCAUCGACCAACUCACGGGCAGUUGAAGGAAGAUCUGAUUGAGCAUCAUUGGGUGGUGAAAGGGCACAACAAUGUUGGGAUGUAAUAUUUGAACUCUUUUUAAAUUUGAACUAGUGCUGCAUGUGGCUAUUUGAAUGUAUGUACCCUUUGCAUGCGGCUAUUUGAUCGUGCGGACUUGACAAAAUGAGGAAGGCCAGAUGUAUGCGGCUUUGGUUGGAUGGUGUCCUC
rnacentral:rRNA from 1 species